UGACACCGUAGUUUUUUGCACAAGGGCAGAUGAGCUUUGAAAGGUAGCUGGCGGGUGAGAAUGGUACGCAGCUGUGAUUGUGCCUACAGGAUUUUAUUUAUGAACUUGAUGCCCGUUUCAUGACAGAAGAAAAGGACUGUCGUGUAUUGUUUUGCAUUCCUUGAACCAGAACCAGAACCAGGAGAGUCCCGAGGAGGAGAAGAGAGGGAAGGAUAACAGCACGGGCAGUCUUCCUGUUCUCACCAUCUGGAAGAAUAUCAGAGAAGAUGUUGAGUUUAGAAGAAGGGCAGCUUUAAGAAGAUCCACACCUAACCCUAACCCUAACCAGAACUCACACACUAACCAGCCUGAGUCAGGACCCUUCAGGUCUCUGGAGGACUAUUAGAAGACAUUUACCCCCCCGAUGCUCUGACUCGGUCUCUUCUCCCACUGGAGGUCCAGAUGUGCUGAAAUCAUUUCUCUUUGUCCCGUUCGCUUUUCUUUCUGUUUCAAAUGACACAAACAAAGUUCUUCAUUAUCUCCAGUUGCAUUAUACACAACUUAAAUAUAAAAAACAUAAUAAAUGACCUGUCCUGCUUACCAACAGUGAGGUAAAAUUCACAGCGGGCUUUCAGGUCUGGGACGUAGACUUGGUACGGUCCAGAGUCAGACAGAUUUACUGAGGAGAUGUGCAGCGUCACGGUUCCUCCGAUCAGGUCUUCAUGGAUCAGAGUUGUUCUGCCUCUGUAGUGAUGACUCUGUGGAGGGAAAUGGUCCUGUCCAUGUCGGUAGACGUGGACCACAUCGUCACGGAGGUCAAGUCUCUUCAGAUCCAGCGUGUAAGGAGUCAAGUUGAGCGGAGGACUCAGAGAACCCCCCAGAGUAACAGCAUCACCUUCUACUGCCUCGACCAGAGUCGGACACACCACACGAUGCUCUCCUGGAGAAACACACAUUAUAUAGACACAGACAUUAUUUAGACUGUCUGAAAUCCUCUGAAGGACAGACAGCUUUUCAAACUCUUUCAAAUGUAGUGGCACAGUUCUUCAAGUGCACUUUCCCACUUCUCUCCUUCAGGAGGAUAGAGCUGAGUAAAUGUAUUGUGCCAUCUUUGUUAUAUUAUAUUUAUUAUAUUGUCUUGGAGGAGGAGCCACAGCUACACACACAGAACAAAAGGAACUGUGGCUCCACACCUCCUCUCGUGCGAGUCUUGUCCAUGGAUGUAUUAAGUGAACGGCAUAGGCGCUCGGUCUUGUCCAUAGACAGUAUAUAAGGUCUUGUCCCGCACUGAUCCCACUGCGCAUGCGCAUCAGCGGCAGCGGCUGCACCUCAGGGUGAGCUGGCUGUGAAGCACUUCGGUCCCUAUGAGGACUUGAACCUGACCCAACUCCCUGGCCUGAGCUGCUACACUGUCAUUUUUUUUUUUUAAUUCGGUCAGUAUUACUCAAAUACAGUUUGCCAGACAUUUAUAGCGAUAAUUAAUCUGCAGCAUGUUAUGGCAAUAAGGCUACAUUUUGGCGAGAGAAAAUCUGGCAUGGCUAUUUUCAAAGGGGUCCGUUCACCUCUCAACUCAAGAUAUCUGAACAAAAAUGGGUUUUAUGGGUUACAUGUGUCUCAUCUUUAUUAUAAUCCCAUGCAGUUUUUCUAAUGCAAUACAGAUGGAUUAUUUCCUUCUUUAUUCUAAAAUUGUGUAGGCUUAUUUUAAUAUUUCGUCCCUGGACAGUCUCAGAGUUGCAUGAAUUGGGUCUGACUGGAAAGAUGAGACUCUUGCGGAUUCAAUGAGCCCAAUCUGAGUUAUGUGUGAUUAUGUUAGUCCCCAUAGUCAUUUUAUUGUGCCAUGUUUAAGCUAUAGUGCAUCAUAGUUUUCAGUCUCCCCAA